GACGAACGCUGGCGGCGUGCCUAAUACAUGCAAGUAGAACGCUGAAGGAGGAGCUUGCUUCUCUGGAUGAGUUGCGAACGGGUGAGUAACGCGUAGGUAACCUGCCUGGUAGCGGGGGAUAACUAUUGGAAACGAUAGCUAAUACCGCGUAAUAGUAGAUGUUGCAUGACAUUUGCUUAAAAGGUGCAAUUGCAUCACUACCAGAUGGACCUGCGUUGUAUUAGCUAGUUGGUGGGGUAACGGCUCACCAAGGCGACGAUACAUAGCCGACCUGAGAGGGGGAUCGGCCACACUGGGACUGAGACACGGCCCAGACUCCUACGGGAGGCAGCAGUAGGGAAUCUUCGGCAAUGGACGGAAGUCUGACCGAGCAACGCCGCGUGAGUGAAGAAGGUUUUCGGAUCGUAAAGCUCUGUUGUAAGAGAAGAACGAGGGUGAGAGUGGAAAGUUCACACUGUGACGGUAUCUUACCAGAAAGGGACGGCUAACUACGUG
rnacentral:rRNA from 1 species